UGGGGAAUAUUGGGCAAUGGGCGCAAGCCUGACCCAGCGACGCCGCGUGAGGGAAGAAGGCCCUUGGGUCGUAAACCUCUGUUGUAUGGGAAGAAGGACGUGACGGUACCAUACGAGGAAGUCCCGGCUAACUACGUGCCAGCAGCCGCGGUAAUACGUAGGGGACGAGCGUUGUCCGGAAUUACUGGGCGUAAAGGGCGCGCAGGCGGAUAUUUAAGUCAGCUGUUAAAGUCAUGGGCUCAACUCAUGGAUGCGGUUGAAACUGGAUAUCUCGAGUGCUGGAGAGGUAGGCGGAAUUCCCGGUGUAGCGGUGAAAUGCGUAGAUAUCGGGAAGAACACCAGUGGCGAAGGCGGCUUACUGGCCAGCAACUGACGCUGAGGCGCGAAAGCCAGGGGAGCG
rnacentral:rRNA from 1 species